UAUAGGAGUCUGGAGAAGUCACUUGAUUCAUUGUUGUCUCUUGUGUAGUGCAGUGCGGGAGGAAUUCUGGGCUCUCACCAACACACAUGAUCACGGUGAAACAGGACUGCCGAAGCCUUACCCGAAGUAGUUUUCAGCAUCUCAGGAGCAUGACGACCGGUGCAAGAAAGACAUCCAUUCAAGCACGUGACAAUAUUCCCUGCACCAUAAUAGCCGCUCGUGGAGACAACAGCAGUGAAGGACGGAGGAAGGAAGAUGUGUUAUACGCGUCCUGUGGAGUGAUGAUGGCGCGAGACAAACACGUUGGAAUGAAGGAACAACAAUGAGGGACGGCGUUGGGAAAGGCCAACGUAUCUCCAUAAAUCCGGACGAUCCACUCUCCACGGACUUCACCCAGCACGCCAGGAGCACCUCAAGAUAACCGCGCACGCAAGACUGGUGUAGCACGCAAGU